rnacentral:rRNA from 1 species
UACGAAGGGUGCAAACGUUGCUCGGAAUCAUUGGGCGUAAAGCGCACGUAGGCGGCUUUGCAAGUCGGAUGUGAAAUCCCUCGGCUCAACCAAGGAAGUGCAUCCGAAACUGCAGAGCUUGAGUACUUAAGAGGAUCGCGGAAUUCCCGGUGUAGAGGUGAAAUUCGUAGAUAUCGGGAGGAACACCAGUGGCGAAGGCGGCGAUCUGGGAAGAUACUGACGCUGAGGUGCGAAAGCGUGGGGAGCAAACAGG